GGCAUGGCGGGUGCUUACCAUGCAGUCGAACGCUGAAGCUCCCAGCUUGCUGGGGGUGGAUGAGUGGCGAACGGGUGAGUAACACGUGAGUAACCUGCCCCGAACUCUGGGAUAAGCGCUGGAAACGGCGUCUAAUACUGGAUAUGUCCUAUCACCGCAUGGUGUGUAGGUGGAAAGAAUUUCGGUUCGGGAUGGACUCGCGGCCUAUCAGCUAGAUGGUGAGGUAAUGGCUCACCAUGGCGACGACGGGUAGCCGGCCUGAGAGGGUGACCGGCCACACUGGGACUGAGACACGGCCCAGACUCCUACGGGAGGCAGCAGUGGGGAAUAUUGCACAAUGGGCGCAAGCCUGAUGCAGCAACGCCGCGUGAGGGAUGACGGCCUUCGGGUUGUAAACCUCUUUUAGUAGGGAAGAAGCGAAAGUGACGGUACCUGCAGAAAAAGCACCGGCUAACUACGUGCCAGCAGCCGCGGUAAUACGUAGGGUGCAAGCGUUGUCCGGAAUUAUUGGGCGUAAAGAGCUCGUAGGCGGCUUGUCGCGUCUGCUGUGAAAACCAGAGGCUCAACCUCUGGCCUGCAGUGGGUACGGGCAAGCUAGAGUGCGGUAGGGGAGAUUGGAAUUCCUGGUGUAGCGGUGGAAUGCGCAGAUAUCAGGAGGAACACCGAUGGCGAAGGCAGAUCUCUGGGCCGUAACUGACGCUGAGGAGCGAAAGCAUGGGUAGCGAACAGGAUUAGAUACCCUGGUAGUCCAUGCCGUAAACGUUGGGAACUAGAUGUAGGGCCUGUUCCACGGGUUCUGUGUCGUAGCUAACGCAUUAAGUUCCCCGCCUGGGGAGUACGGCCGCAAGGCUAAA
rnacentral:rRNA from 1 species